CUUCUUCACUGCGUAAUAUAGGACUUUAUAUGAGGAGUAGGUGGACAAUAUUUCAUCCCCAUGUGAUAUCCCUGGUUGAGGGCACUGAAUACAGCCAGGUACGUGGCCACAGCUGUGUGCCCUUUGAGUGCCGCAGAAGGAGCUCCUGGAGGUUGGAAGAAGGACUCUGGAGUAUGGCCAUGACACUUGUGGUUAGUGGAUGUGGUUGACUUCAGCAGCUCUGAAAGCUCCAAACUAAAGCUUGAGAGCUGAGCUUGGCACCGGGGAAGACCUGUCCGCAGCUGAGCAGAGGAGCAUCAGCCAAACUCUACCUUGGGGAAUGGCCUCCUUGUCCUUUUGGAAACAAUCAAAGAAAACAAAAAUCACACUGAGACUUUUUUUAAAUUAUUGCCUAUUUUACACAUUUGUUUCAAACUGUUCACCUGAGAGGGGGGUUGCUGCCCCAGUUU